AUUGCCAUGGCGAUGAGUUUGUGUACAUGAAAAGGCAUGCGGAGCAGCCAAUGAGCUCCUCUUCCAGCCUGUCCAUCAUAAACACCCCUCCCACCCUGUCAUAUACACCAAUCAUACCUUCCAGCUCAGCACCUUAUGCUUGGUUUUUGUGUCUUAAUAAGUCUUGACAUUCAGUGGAGAGUCAGAAUCCAGUGGCUGUGCUGGUGCCGGAUCAGAUCUCUGGACAGUGGACAGUGAGCCGAGCCUUCCUAGAUUCACUCUGGGAAGUCACAGGCCUAAUGUCAUCACCCAGCGGGACCUAAUGCAUCAAAGGAUGGCCUUUUCGUUCCCUUGAGAGGCAUUAUUCCUUCCAAGAAAUACGUGCGUCUCCGCAGAAUGACACAGGAUACCACUUGCUCUCCAAAGAUACAGAUUCAGCCAUUUGCUCAAUAUCUGUUCACGUUUUGAUUUAUCUGUGUGACCUCUGAUUAUGAGCACAGUCAACAAGUCAGAGCCAAUGGGGGUGUGAGGAUCCAGGAAGAAGCCAGACAGGCUUGGUCCUUCCAUCAGGACACCGACAGAUUGGUGCGGGAACCUUCGAAUGAACAGGGCUAGAACCCAGGUUCCCAGUCUUCCUGUUGGAAUUCCAGCAACUGCCCCUGCGGACCCGGAUUUAGGACAUGUCUUCCUCUCUCGACAGUCCUCGGGAUGCCAGCCCUGUGCGGAUAAUGUGCGGAUAAAUCUGAGUGGAGUUUCCGAAGAUCAAUGCUGCUUUCAAUAUUCUCUCCCCGCGGCAAGCUCACGACAUAUUUUUUCACAAGUUCCCAGCACAAAGAACCAUCUGGAUAAGAAAAAACAGGAAGAGGCUUCCAAGCUUUCCCACUCCCUGUUCCCCGACCCAGGGUCUGUGCCAACCAGGACUCUGGUAGCUGUCCUCUCUAAGCUUCACACGUUGCACAGAAGGUGAAGAAAAAGGACAAGGUUGGCAUUGAUGCAGUACGUUUGAGAGGCCAAGUCCUGUGCAGGGCAGCAGUGGGUGCGUAAAAAGAAAAAAAAAA